GAUCGCGACGCAGCGCCGCCCAUCUCGGGCACACCUCGAGAGUGUGCUGGGCAGAGUCCACCGCCGCGCCACAAUCGUGACAUCCACUCGUCGGCUCCUUUUGGGCCGUCCGAGGUAUAUAUGGCACGAAACGUUGAAGAGUUUGAGAUUUCCUGCAGCAACAAAUCUCACCUUGAGUUGACCUCCUCGAACAUUCCAGUCGCUCGAAUGAAAUAAGGGCAUAUGAGAGACGUGUGUACGCCCUUAAUGCCUUUGACCUCCAGCUCAGACCUCAGCGCCUCAUCAAAACCGCAGGCCGCAGACUUGGAGGAGCAAUAGUCUACAAGCUUCGCCACACCAACGUGGCCAGCCAUAGACGCUAUGGUCACGAUAUGACCAUCAUUAUAGUCUAUCAUAGACGGAAGAAAGGCCUUCACUGUCUGAAAACGUAGAAAGUUUUUUUAGUUAUUUUUAAUAAAGUAUAUAGUAUAUUUGGGUGGCAA